GACGAACGCUGGCGGCGUGCUUAACACAUGCAAGUCGAGCGGAAAGGCUCCUUCGGGGGUACUCGAGCGGCGAACGGGUGAGUAACACGUGAGUAAUCUGCCCUGGACUCUGGGAUAGCCACCGGAAACGGUGAUUAAUACCGGAUAUGACCAGCUUCCGCAUGGUGGUUGGUGGAAAGUUUUUUCGGUCCAGGAUGUGCUCGCGGCCUAUCAGCUUGUUGGUGAGGUAAUGGCCUACCAAGGCUUCGACGGGUAGCCGGCCUGAGAGGGUGACCGGCCACACUGGGACUGAGACACGGCCCAGACUCCUACGGGAGGCAGCAGUGGGGAAUAUUGGACAAUGGGCGGAAGCCUGAUCCAGCAACGCCGCGUGAGGGAUGACGGCCUUCGGGUUGUAAACCUCUUUCAGCACCGACGAAGCGACCUUUGGGAGUGACGGUAGGUGCAGAAGAAGGACCGGCCAACUACGUGCCAGCAGCCGCAGUAACAC
rnacentral:rRNA from 1 species